rnacentral:rRNA from 1 species
AAUAGAUACCCGGGUAGUCCACGCCGUAAACGAUGGAGUGCUAAGUGUUAGAGGGUUUCCGCCCUUUAGUGCUGCAGCUAACGCAUUAAGCACUCCGCCUGGGGAGUACGGCCGCAAGGCUGAAACUCAAAGGAAUUGACGGGGGGCCCGCACAAGCGGUGGAGCAUGUGGUUUAAUUCGAAGCAACGCGAAGAACCUUACCAGGUCUUGACAUCCUCUGCCAACCCUAGAGAUAGGGCGUUCCCCUUCGGGGGACAGAGUGACAGGUGGUGCAUGGUUGUCGUCAGCUCGUGUCGUGAGAUGUUGGGUUAAGUCCCGCAACGAGCGCAACCCUUGAUUUUAGUUGCCGGCAUUUAGUUGGGCACUCUAAGGUGACUGCCGGUGACAAACCGGAGGAGGGUGGGGAUGACGUCAAAUCAUCAUGCCCCUUAUGACCUGGGCUACACACGUGCUACAAUGGAUGGUACAAAGAGCUGCGAACCCGCGAGGGUAAGCGAAUCUCAUAAAGCCAUUCUCAGUUCGGAUUGUAGGCUGCAACUCG